CCUACGGGAGGCAGCAGUGGGGAAUAUUGCACAAUGGGGGAAACCCUGAUGCAGCGACGCCGCGUGAGUGAAGACGUAUCUCGGUACGUAAAGCUCUAUCAGCAGGGAAGAUAAUGACGGUACCUGACCAAGAAGCCCCGGCUAACUACGUGCCAGAAGCCGCGGUAAUACGGAGGGGGCAGGCGUUAUCCGGAUUUACUGGGUGUAAAGGGAGCGUAGACGGGUGCACAAGUCUGGAGUGAAAUCCUGGGGCUUAACCCCGGAACUGCUUUGGAAACUGUACGGCUGGAGUGCAGGAGGGGUAGGCGGAAUUCGUAGUGUAGCGGUGAAAUGCGUAGAUAUUAGGAGGAACACCGAUGGCGAAGGCGGCUUACUGGACUGUAACUGACGUUGAGGCUCGAAAGCGUGGGGAGCAAACAGGAUUAGAUACCCGAGUAGUC
rnacentral:rRNA from 1 species